ACGAAGGCUUCGGCCUUAGUGGCGCACGGGUGCGUAACGCGUGGGAAUCUGCCCUUGGGUUCGGAAUAACAGUUAGAAAUUACUGCUAAUACCGGAUGAUGACGAAAGUCCAAAGAUUUAUCGCCCAGGGAUGAGCCCGCGUAAGAUUAGCUAGUUGGUGAGGUAAAGGCUCACCAAGGCGACGAUCCUUAGCUGGUCUGAGAGGAUGAUCAGCCACACUGGGACUGAGACACGGCCCAGACUCCUACGGGAGGCAGCAGUGGGGAAUAUUGGACAAUGGGCGAAAGCCUGAUCCAGCAAUGCCGCGUGAGUGAUGAAGGCCUUAGGGUUGUAAAGCUCUUUUACCAGGGAUGAUAAUGACAGUACCGGGAGAAUAAGCUCCGGCUAACUCCGUGCCAGCAGCCGCGGUAAU
rnacentral:rRNA from 1 species